rnacentral:rRNA from 1 species
UUGGUUAAGUUAGAAAGGGCGCACGGUGGAUGCCUUGGCACUAGGAGCCGAAGAAGGACGGGACUAACACCGAUAUGCUUUGGGGAGCUGUACGUAAGCGUUGAUCCAGAGAUUUCCGAAUGGGGGAACCCACUAUCUUUAGUCGGAUAGUAUCCUUACGUGAAUACAUAGCGUGAGGAAGGCAGACCCAGGGAACUGAAACAUCUAAGUACCUGGAGGAAGAGAAAGAAAAAUCGAUUUCCUGAGUAGCGGCGAGCGAAACGGAAAGAGCCCAAACCAAGAAGCUUGCUUCUUGGGGUUGUAGGACACUCUAUACGGAGUUACAAAAGAAAGUUAUAAAUGAAGCGGUCUGGAAAGGCCCGCCAAAGACGGUAACAGCCCGGUAGUUGAAAUGGCUUUCCCUCCAGAGUGGAUCCUGAGUACGGCGGAACACGUGAAAUUCCGUCGGAAUCCGGGAGGACCAUCUCCCAAGGCUAAAUACUCCCUAGUGACCGAUAGUGAACCAGUACCGUGAGGGAAAGGUGAAAAGCACCCCGGAAGGGGAGUGAAACAGUUCCUGAAACCGUGUGCCUACAAGUAGUUAGAGCCCGUUAAUGGGUGAUAGCGUGCCUUUUGUAGAAUGAACCGGCGAGUUACGAUUUGUUGCAAGGUUAAGCGGAAAAAGCGGAGCCGUAGCGAAAGCGAGUCUGAAUAGGGCGCAUAAGUAACAGGUCGUAGACCCGAAACCAGGUGAUCUACCCAUGUCCAGGAUGAAGGUAAGGUAAUACUUACUGGAGGUCCGAACCCACGCACGUUGAAAAGUGCGGGGAUGAGGUGUGGGUAGCGGAGAAAUUCCAAUCGAACUUGGAGAUAGCUGGUUCUCUCCGAAAUAGCUUUAGGGCUAGCCUCGAGGUAAAGAGUCAUGGAGGUAGAGCACUGUUUGGACUAGGGGCCCUUCUCGGGUUACCGAAUUCAGAUAAACUCCGAAUGCCAUGUACUUAUACUCGGGAGUCAGACUGCGAGUGAUAAGAUCCGUAGUCGAAAGGGAAACAGCCCAGACCACCAGUUAAGGUCCCCAAAUAUAUGUUAAGUGGAAAAGGAUGUGGGGUUGCUUAGACAACCAGGAUGUUGGCUUAGAAGCAGCCACCAUUGAAAGAGUGCGUAAUAGCUCACUGGUCGAGUGACCCCGCGCCGAAAAUGUACCGGGGCUAAACAUAUUACCGAAACUGUGGAUGAACCUCUUUAGAGGUUCGUGGUAGGAGAGCGUUCUAAGGGCGGUGAAGUCAGACCGGAAGGACUGGUGGAGCGCUUAGAAGUGAGAAUGCCGGUAUGAGUAGCGAAAGAAGGGUGAGAAUCCCUUCCACCGAAUAUCUAAGGUUUCCUGAGGAAGGCUCGUCCGCUCAGGGUUAGUCGGGACCUAAGCCGAGGCCGAUAGGCGUAGGCGAUGGACAACAGGUAGAGAUUCCUGUACCAGUGCUAAUUGUUUAACCGAUGGGGUGACACAGAAGGAUAGGGAAUCGCACGAAUGGAAAUGUGCGUCCAA